GUUUAGUUUGGAUGGUAUACAUUCAUAGGCCUACGUUAGACGCCAUCUUAAGUUGACUUGAACAAAGUGCUUGCAAAUCACCAUUACAUUAUCGAGUUGUUCUUCUUUAGGCGAAGUUUAAACAUCAAAGGACAACCAAUCGAGGAGGUGAACUUUCUUCAGGAUUUCAAAAUACGAAGGUCAACAUUCUGAUCAGUAUGGCGGCUAACUUCAGCUCUGCAGAAGACAUCUGUGAAGGAGAGAACUGUGAGGCAAUCACAGAUGUGACGUACUACGUGAAGGAGAAGAAGAAGCUCUGCGAUAACUGCGCCUCCACAGGGGGAUGCAUCGGUAAAGCAAGAAAGGGUGGGACCAAUCUAUAUUGU